UUCUUUGGACUACUUUGAGCAAAAAUAGAAGAAAAGGGCUCAUUUUUUCCAAUGACUGUUUUUUUGGAUCCAAUAGUACAGAUCCAAAACUGUCCUCUGAGGCACGCACUGAGCAGGAAACUGAAGAAUAUACCAGAUUUGCUAAAAAAGAUGUGCAACUCACCUGAAAAAACAGGCCUACCUAGUGUGAGAGAAGGCGAGAGGGAAGGCGGGAGUGGUCCUGAGCACAUCCGGGGGUGCUUCCAGCUCUGAAAGUACGAGUCCAAGUGCACAGAGUACCCGCAGCCCC